rnacentral:lncRNA from 1 species
AAAAUUCAUGAAUUAUAUACCAAAAUGAAGCUUGAGCUGAGAGGAACAAAACCUUACCACUCUCAAGUCUUAAAUGCACCGGAAAAACCCAUGAUAGUCCGGCCACCUCUGCAACUCAACGGACCUGAGUUUCUUGAUGUUCAAAACCUUCCAAAAUUCUUUUAAAAGCUUCGUGAAGACGAUAUAAGACUUCCAAAAAGCUCAAAACUUCAAGAAACACUCGCGAUCAUGUCGAGUGAACAGUGCACCUCAUCGGGGGUUUUCGGUUCUCGGGUUUUCGAAGCUUUCACGACCAACCAAAGGUAUAGAUUGAGUCCUGAGCUCACAAGGAACACGAAAAUCACUUCUUCGACGUCAAUCCGUGCCUGCAAAGGUUAUUUUGAAAUUUGUCCGUACAAUUGUACAUAAAUGGAAAGAAAUCCGAGAGGGAGAAAGGAAGAGGGUCAACGGGAUUGGUUGGUGUGGUCCAGGUUUGGCCAACCAAACCAAAAAUAACUAAAACUUAAGUUCCACAGACUUAGGAAUAAAUUAAAUCAUUCCAAAACCUAAGCUUAAACCACACCACCACACAAUAUAACUCAACGCCCAUGGGUAUAAAAGGAAUUUCCACGCUAUUGAGGAUAAAAUAAUAUACACAUUCGGGACGGGUUGUCACACACACCAUGUCAAAUUUUAACGAUCCGAACUGUCUAUUUUUCAAGUUGCACCUCAUAAAUUAUCCUUAUAAAAUAUUAGUCAAAUUGGAAAUAUUGGAGGCAUCUAAUUGAGUUUAAAGAAAUUGACAAACACUUUGUUUUUUAAGAAACAUUGAAAUUUCAUCGUGAUAAUUAAAUAGGCAAAUGGUUUCAGAUUGAAUUGAAUUUUUGCUAGAAUAAUCUAUGAAUUGAGACUUAUAAAAUAGACCGUUUGGAUCGUUGAAAUUCGAUGUGGAGUGAGUCUUGCAACUAAUUCCCAAUUUUUGAAGAAUAUGGGAGUCCCUCCCCUUAAAGGGUGCGCGCGCACACACACACACACGCCUUCAUGCACGUGCAUUUUUUGAAUCAUGGCGUGUUACGCGUGACUUACAUGUUUUAAAUGUAUUUACAUGCGUGAAUUGACAAAAGGAAAGUCAAAUAUGUGAAGUAAAUGAAUAAUCUUAGAUCAUGCUAGAAAAAACCCCUCACAAACCAAUCAAAGCAGUUGAAUUCACAUAAUAAAAUCAAUUUUUCAAUUUCCAUAUACAUUCUAUUGAAUUUACGUUAAGAAUAGAGAAAAUAAAAUUUAAUAAACAACCAAUUGAAUCACAUUAUUGCUAGCCCAUUGUGAGAUUAAGCCCACCCCUCUCUCCCUGAGUGUAGAUAAUAUCAUUUGUUAAAAAAAAAUCAUUUGACAAUUAAUUUUAUCACAUUAUUAUGUGCGUGCAAAAAAACCUUUUUAUACUGGCAUUACACGCCUUUUAAAAUGUUUUGAAUAUGUUUAAAAAUAGAGAAAAUAAUAUUUAACGAACACCUGAUUGAAUCACAUUUUGCUAGCUUAUUGUGAGGUACUAAUUAAAAAAAAGUACAAAAAGAAUUAAUUAUUAAAAGAACACUGUUAAAAUGACAAAAAUACCCCUGCAUUAUUUUGGGUUGCUUUUGAAAUUUUUUGUUUUGAGGGCAUUUUUGUCUAAAACCUUUUGGUGAAGCUUGUGAUCCCAAAAAAAGUUGUUGGCUUUAUAUAUAGAGAUAUAUUCGCUGCUAUUUUAGGUCCCAAGUGUUUAAUUCCGUGGCCUUAAUUAAGUAAGCAAAGCUAUAAAUAUAAAUGAGGUAAAAAUUGAAGAGAAUUGAGUAGAACACGUUUGAUAGAUAACCAUUUUAAUUUUUAAAUUUUAAUUUUUAGUUUUUAUAAA